rnacentral:rRNA from 1 species
GACCAAGGAGUCUAACAUGUAUGCAAGUCAUUGAGAAUGUUAAACUCAAAGGCGUAAUGAAAGUGAAGAUCCAAUUUUAUGGAUUUGAGGAGAGAUCAAUUUCURGUUCCUUGCUUUCCGWAAGGUUAGUGAGGCYAGGGUUGCGCAUCUCCUGGACGUCUUAACCUCUGAAGGUGGGGCGUACCUAGAGCAUACACGUUGGGACCCGAAAGAUGGUGAACUAUGCCUGGUCAGAACGAAGUCAGGGGAAACCCUGAUGGAGGUUCGUAGCGAUUCUGACGUGCAAAUCGAUCGUCGGAAC